GACGAACGCUGGCGGCGUGCUUAACACAUGCAAGUCGAACGGUGAAAGCGGAGCUUGCUCCGCUGGAUCAGUGGCGAACGGGUGAGUAACACGUGGGCAACCUGCCCCCCACUUCGGGAUAACUCCGGGAAACCGGGGCUAAUACCGGAUAUGACCUCCUUGGGCAUCCUUGGAGGUGGAAAGAAUUUCGGUCAAGGAUGGACUCGCGGCCUAUCAGCUAGUUGGUGAGGUAACGGCUCACCAAGGCGACGACGGGUAGCCGGCCUGAGAGGGUGACCGGCCACACUGGGACUGAGACACGGCCCAGACUCCUACGGGGGGCAGCAGGGGGGAAUAUUGCACAAUGGGCGCAAGCCUGAUGCAGCAACGCCGCGUGAGGGAUGACGGCCUUCGGGUUGUAAACCUCUUUUAGUAGGGAAGAAGCGAAAGUGACGGUACCUGCAGAAAAAGCACCGGCUAACUACGUGCCAGCCGCCGCGGUAA
rnacentral:rRNA from 1 species